UACGGAGGGUGCAAGCGUUAUCCGGAAUCACUGGGUUUAAAGGGUGCGUAGGCGGUUUGAUAAGUCAGUUGUGAAAUUCCCUCGCUCAACGAGUGGGACUGCGAUUGAUACUGUUGAACUUGAAUCAGGUUGAGGUAGGCGGAAUGUGGCAUGUAGCGGUGAAAUGCAUAGAUAUGCCAUAGAACACCGAUUGCGAAGGCAGCUUGCUGGGCUUCGAUUGACGCUGAGGCACGAAAGCGUGGGGAGCAAACAGG
rnacentral:rRNA from 1 species